AUUCUUUACAAUGCAGGCAACUGCGAUAAGGGGACACCGAGUGCCAGUGAAUUUCAUUGGCUGUCUUAAUGUUUAAAACGCAUUCAAUAGCAAGGGCUGGGCAAGACCGGUGCCAGCCGCCGCGGUAAUACCGGCAGCCCGAGUGGUAACCACUAUUAUUGGGUCUAAAGGGUCCGUAGCCGGGCCAAUCAGUCUUCUGGGAAAUCUGGCAGCUCAACUGUCAGGCGACUAGGGGAUACUGUUGGCCUUGGGACCGGAAGAGGUAAGAGGUACUUUAGGGGUAGGAGUGAAAUCUUGUAAUCCUUAAGGGACCACCAGUGGCGAAGGCGUCUUACCAGAACGGGUCCGACGGUGAGGGACGAAAGCUAGGGGCGCAAACCGGAUUAGAUACCCGGGUAGUCCUAGCCGUAAACGAUGUUCGCUAUGUGUCAGGGACGGCGUGACCGUUCCUGGUGCCGAAGGGAAGCUGUGAAGCGAACCACCUGGAAGUACGACCGCAAGGC
rnacentral:rRNA from 1 species